GGCCGGCGGAGCACAGGGCGGAGGGAAAGAGAGGAGCGGGCGGAAUCUAGGAAGAGGGGAAAUCAGGGUGGAGACGUGGAGGGAGAUCUCUCCGAACUGUUCUCUGCCAGGAUUAGGGCAAAAAAAAAAAAAAAAAAAAAAAGUAUUGCACGUCUUAGGUGUUGUGCAAGGACCUGAAACUCGAAAGCUGAAGACCGAAGGCAGUUAGGUGGGGGAGCUGAGGUUUCCAGUCCUCUGCGAUGAAUGUGUCUUUUUAAGUAUACAAACUGAAGUUCAGAGGAAAACAAGAGGCACUAUGGUAACAAAUGUAAAACGGGUCUCAUUUCUGUGUUUUCAGCAGUGGGUCUAUCUAUCCUUUAGCAGAUCCCUUAUGCCCUGAAUAAAAGCUGUAAUGUCAAGCAUUUUCUCAAAUCCUUGCAUACCAACCUUGGCGUUUUUCCCCCUACGGUAUUUAAGCAGCUACAAGUUUCCACAGACCUUUCUACCUUCCGUCGCCGUACGUGCCGAAGAGGUGGGGUUGGCCUUAUGAAUUAUGAAGUUUUUAAUAUUUAAACCAUGUUGAUUCUAGCCGGAGCAUGGAAUCUAACUUGAGAACUAACAGCCAGCUCAACUGGGUAUUUAAAUAGACAUUACAUCUUUGGCUUAUUUUUGCUAGCACUGUAGUCUCCAGAGGGGGAAAGCGGAGUUUAAUAUUUUCAGAUAAGUAUAGCCCAUCUACCUAAUACAGUGGCACCUUUUCCUACGAAACGGGAACCAAAGAAGUCACAAACAUUCACAGAUAGUCAAGGGCUCUGAAAACUGGAAACCCAAACCUGUAGGAACGUAACAGCUAAAUACAUUACUACCCACAGGUUGGGUUGUUUUUAAUGGAGGGACUUUAUGUGACUGAUUACGAAGCCGGAACGAUAAACUUUGACAAAAAUGCCUGUAAUAUGACUACAUAUGCACAUACAUCGACAGCAUAUUAUAGCAGCACACUCAUGGAGAGCACACUGGCCUCUUCACAGGGCAGCACCGCUUAAAAGGCUCCUAGGGAAGAAAUGCACCUCAAAGAGUGUAUCAGGGGUGCACGUCCCCUUUCCAAAUCCAGGCUUGAAAUAAUUUUGAAUCAAAAAGAAAAGAACAAAAAGGUCUAAAAGUGAGGAAGACUGAUUUAUUUCAAACAUCAGCUCCUGCUGUCUAGGAUUAGACAUCCCAGAUUCGUAUCUGUCACAGUUCAGCUGACAGGAAGCAUCAGCAACCCAGGAAGACGGCUGAAUGAAUCUCAGUUAAAAAGCUUCGUUUUCCUCAAGUGGUCCAGACCCUUCGUUUCUCUACUGUGCGGGGCAGCAUGUUAAUGAAUUCACGUUUGCUAUGUUCACAUC